rnacentral:rRNA from 1 species
AAAGCGUGCGCAGGCGGUUUUGUAAGUCUGAUGUGAAAUCCCCGGGCUCAACCUGGGAAUGGCGAUGGAGACUGCAAGGCUAGAGUUUGGCAGAGGGGGGUAGAAUUCCACGUGUAGCAGUGAAAUGCGUAGAUAUGUGGAGGAACACCGAUGGCGAAGGCAGCCCCCUGGGUCAAAACUGACGCUCAUGCACGAAAGCGUGGGGAGCAAACAGGAUUAGAUACCCGAGU